GAGAAAUUAGUUAAUUUAUAACAUUAGAUUGUCAAGCUAAAAUUAUCGAAUGAUAUUCCUCU
rnacentral:tRNA from 1 species